UUGUAUUAACUCAAUUUACGCGUUUACUCGUUGGAUAAAUCGUACAAAAACAGAAUCAUCUGCAUUCAUAGAACGACUGAGAUCAGCUUGAGCCGCCCUCACCUCCACACGCGCAGACGGCGCCUCGCCCUUCGCCCGCAGACGCCACAUCACCCUCGCCCCUCCACCGCACUCAGAUUGCAUUCCCCCCUCCACCGUGCCGCCCCCGACGACGCAUCGUCGCCGCACCGCCGCCGCCUUCGCUCCUGCCCCCGCGAACGACGCCGCCGCGACCGACGUCGUCCUCCUCAUGCACCGCUUCUCCAUCCGGCCUCACCCAAAACCCUCUCCCACCACCGUUACACCCACCGCCGCCCCAACCCCAUCCCCUUCCCCCACGGCCUCAAACAGGGGUGGAGCUCCCAUCGACCCCGGCCGGAACCACCCCCUCCUCGUGUCGGUGUCCCAACGAGCCAUUCCAAUCUCUCCAUCUCCAAUGGUGCGGCGGCAGCAGCGAAAGGCCGGAGGAGGCGAGAUGAUUGCGCCUCUAUGGCAUCUGCGGGGCUGCCGGGCCGGCUAAGGACGGGUGGGUUACGGUGCGGCGGCGUGCAGCGUAGCGGCAGGUAGGAGGCGCAAGGCGGCAGGUGGUCGAGGUGCGGUCGCGCGGCACGGGCACAGGCAGCCGGCGGGCGGUGUCCACUCAGGCAGCCGCGCAGGACGGCAGAAGCCACUGACGCUAAGGGUCGGGCCGGCCGGCUCGUUGUCGUCCUGACCUGUACAUCUGUGUGCAGGUGCAGCACUGCAGUUCAGAUUUCCUCUCUGAACAUUGAAGACUGCAAUCUGCAUGAUGAGAUACUACAGUCAGACUGAUGCAGAGAUAGAGACUACAUGCCUUCAGUUUAAAGUUUCAGAAAAAGGGGUCGAUCUAGAUAGAAAGUGCAGCUAACCAGCCGAUUGAUGUAGCACGCACAAGGUAAUCAUCAUUUCUGAAGGAAAGAAGCAAACUGUGGAGGUGCCGGCCUUGGCUGCUCUCUCGCGGAUUUUCUGCAAGUCGAGGAUUAGAUCAUCCCCAGGUACUUGUAACUUGCAUGUUCGCAAUGAAAUUCAUGCUGAUUUUAACUUAUGUUGCUCUGCUCACGUAUCCAUCCAUUUUUCUCAGUCAUAGUUGAUUAUUGAUAGCAUGUAAGUUACAUGCUCACAUUUUCACAUUAAAAAAAUAUUAUGCCAUCUAUAAAAUAGUUUUAUUUACAAUUUUAGAUCUAACUAUUGGUAAUCUUUUCUACUUUAAAUCACCAAAAUUUGCUACUACAAAAUGCGUUGGUACCGUGGAAUAAUUUACUGGUGAGAUGUUUGUUGGGGAUUAAAGUUGCCAGAUGACUCGAACGAUAUAAUUAGGACAUGCUUAACUUACCGUCUGGUUUGUGUGGUCCAUUUGGUACAAAUUACGUGGAUUAGAAACACGUCGAUAAGCGAAAUUGCAGAAGAUAUAUUUUUUUGGAGCUUUAUCUGUCGUGAAUAUUUUAUUGGCUAAUUGAGCGAUCUACAAUUCAUAUCCUAUAAAAAGCUCUAGAACUUGAAUUUUGUUUAUUCCCCCUUUUUCUGUAACCCCACACUCUUUCAUGGCCUUUAUGCAAUUUUUUCUAUUUUAAUGGAUAACCUUUUGCAAAUUCUCAUACCAAUGAAAUAAUGUGGAACCUUUAUUCUGGUUAUAUUGGAUCAAAAUACAAGAAAACUCUACAUAGUAGAUCCUAAUCCUCUUAAUCCUAUUUAAAAAAUAACCCGAAUGUAAGAUAUGUCAAAAAGUUAUUACGCCUUGCCGAGCACUUCAGAAAAGCCAUACACAUAGAAUCUCCUAGAUCUAGGUGGGUUGAAGAUAUAAACCUUUGUAGUCAAAUAAAUGUUCCAAAUGUGCCAAUUCACAAGAGGUAUGUUUUAUUCCAAAAUUUCACUAGUGAAACAUCCAAUUUAUUUUUUCUUACAAAUCAAAGGCAUGUAACUAUUGAAUCUUGUCAGUGAACUAUCUGGUUGUCUUGUUCUUCUUUUCAUGCGUGCAUGGAGAAAUGAUGAACUACAAUUUUCUGGUUUCAAGUUGUUACCUCACGUAGAAUUCUUACCAAAACUAUGCUGCCUAAAAAGGAGCCGCUACAAAGAAAUAUUUGGAAAUGAAGCUUGCACAUGGUUACAGCACAGAUUGAAGACAGGACCCGAAAUCUCUCUUCCCCUGGUCAAGAAGAAUAUGAACCGUAUUAGCCAGCUGUCUAUUAUGCAUUUGGGGUCUAUGUUUGAUAUUUGUUUGCUUGAAACAGAGGUUUAUAAUGAUGCCGUUCUUUCCAUAUAAAACAUUUCAAUUUGUUAUAUAUUCUAUUUUUUCAUUAAUUGCUUAAGGAGCAACACCUGAUUCUUUGUCUAUUUUUUUUACUUUUUUAUAUAUGUAGCCAGCCAUACCGUUAGUUCCAAAAGUUCAAGGUUCUUAAUGUUUGGUGCAUUGAUAUUUGUAUACGGUACUUGUAAAAAGCACAAUAUGCUCGUUUGAGACACUGG